UACGGAGGAUGCAAGCGUUAUCCGGAAUGAUUGGGCGUAAAGCGUCCGCAGGUGGCUGUGUAAGUCUGCUGUCAAAGAGCAAAGCUCAACUUUGUAAAAGCAGUGGAAACUACACGGCUAGAGUGCGUUCGGGGCAGAGGGAAUUCCUGGUGUAGCGGUGAAAUGCGUAGAGAUCAGGAAGAACACCGGUGGCGAAGGCGCUCUGCUAGGCCGCAACUGACACUGAGGGACGGAAGCUAGGGGAGCGAAUGGG
rnacentral:rRNA from 1 species